UGGGGAAUUUUGGACAAUGGGGGCAACCCUGAUCCAGCCAUGCCGCGUGAGUGAAGAAGGCCUUCGGGUUGUAAAGCUCUUUCGGCUGGGAAGAAAUCGUACGGGCUAAUACCCUGUGCGGAUGACGGUACCAGCAUAAGAAGCACCGGCUAACUACGUGCCAGCAGCCGCGGUAAUACGUAGGGUGCGAGCGUUAAUCGGAAUUACUGGGCGUAAAGCGUGCGCAGGCGGUUUGAUAAGAUAGGCGUGAAAUCCCCGGGCUCAACCUGGGAACUGCGCUUAUGACUGUCUCACUAGAGUACGGCAGAGGGGGGUGGAAUUCCACGUGUAGCAGUGAAAUGCGUAGAGAUGUGGAGGAAUACCGAUGGCGAAGGCAGCCCCCUGGGUCGAUACUGACGCU
rnacentral:rRNA from 1 species